rnacentral:rRNA from 1 species
GUUGUAUGGUUAAGUGACUAAGCGUACACGGUGGAUGCCUUGGCAGUCAGAGGCGAUGAAGGACGUAGUAACUUGCGAUAAGCCCAGAUUAGGUAGUAACAACCAUUUGAGUCUGGGAUUUCCGAAUGGGGAAACCCACUAGCAUAAGCUAGUAUCGUUCUGUGAAUACAUAGCGAACGAGGCGAACCGGGGGAACUGAAACAUCUAAGUACCCCGAGGAAAAGAAAUCAACCGAGAUUCCGAAAGUAGCGGCGAGCGAAAUUGGAGUAGCCCUUAAGCUUUAUAUGCGUUAGACGAACGGUCUGGAAAGUCCGGCGAUACAGGGUGAUAGCCCCGUAGUUGACAACGCACAUUCAGUGAAAUCGAGUAGGGCGGGACACGUGAUAUCCUGUCUGAAUAUGGGGGGACCAUCCUCCAAGGCUAAAUACUACUGACUGA